AUGAUCUCUGCUGCUUUUUCCUUCCCAGAGAAGGCCAUUGGUUGUUCCUACAAGGAUUUAACAUGGAAGUUAUUUCAAAGAACAAGUGCAACUAACCACAGUGUGAAGAUGAGCAUUGAGCCUGUUCUUGCAUUUGCAGAGAGGAGCUGUCCAGCUGAUUCUAUUUGUGCCUAAUUGAUCAUUGUUGCUUAUUUUUCAGAUGUCAAGAAAUAAGUGGAACUGAACAUUUCUAUCAAGAGGUCAGGAGCCUCCUCACAACACAGGGGCAGGAAUUAAAGGCUCUGUUUCUAUUUUCAGGUGAAAUGAAGGUCUUACCAUUCAAGGCAGGAUGAAAAGAGGCUGCUAAAUUUAAGGGGAAAAAAUGGUCAGACAGAUAAUGAUACCUGGCUAGAGGGAAAAGCAUUUUACUUCCAGUUCAGAAAAAGGCAAGCAGCCAUUUAUACGCUUCAGGUUUUAACAGGUGUAGCUGGCUGUACUGCUAAGAAUCAAAGCCUUGCGGUGGAACAUGACUGACAAGUAGGUGAGCACUGAAAGGUCUCUAGAAGCCCAAUGAUCUGGAUGCUAAGGAACCUUCUCCACUGAUGACUCUUCAUAGCUGGUAAUGAGUAAUAAUAAAUAAUUCUGUCAAACAUUGAUUGCAGGUUUUGCUCUUCUGAGAUAUGAAGAGACCAGGUGCUCAUUCCUACCAGGGAGAAGUGAGGCUAAGUGGCGUGGCUGUCCCGGGCAAGGAGGUGAGAAAUACCACUCUCCAAACAUCCAUGUGUACAUUAAGUGGUGUGGAUUUUGCUUUCAGGGAGAAAAACUGUGGAUGACCUUACUUGUCAUGGGGACAGUGUCAAAAGCAGACACAAGACAAAGCAACAUGGACUUGCCAGCUGCUCAAUACAUUGAGGACUCCAAUGACAAGAUGUUGUUAUUUCAAGGGGGAAAAAAAGCAAACAAAAAAAGCCACUUCAAAUAGUUCAGCUAGUCUCAAGUCUGAAUCAAAUCAGCAAAACAUCAGACAUGGAGAUGAGAAAUGCAGCUGAUUUGAACGUUGAGGAUGUGAAAACUUCAGGAAGUUGCUAGAAGAUCUGGGAUAUCUACAGAAAGGAAACAAGCAAAACUCCUCACUGCUACCAAGAGGUGAAGGAAGUGAAUCUAUCCUUUGCCGUCAAAGGCUACAAGCAGUUUCAGAAGAAUAAAGCAAGAUACAUAACCAAAGCUUCUAAGGUUACAGAAAUAUUUACUUGUUCUAGUCAAGAAUAAGGAAACCACUUAUACCUACUAGAUUUUAACAAUACAGCUGAUUGUAUGGAGAGAAAGAGAUAAACCAAUCCAGCAAUUCAUCAUGCAGAAGCAGGUCAUAUUUCGAGAUGCAAGGAUGACACAUGGCUGUAAGUUACAGGAAGGAAGUAGCUGAUCCAUCCUUUUAAGGAGGUAAGAAAUACAAUACACUAUUCCCAUAAUAGUCAAUGGUUCUGUCAUACUUUUAGGUGGACGAAAGGUAACUGAUGCAAUUUUCAUCUCUCUUAAGAGCAGGAGAAGUUGCUUUACUGAAUAAAGCAAUAAAAAUGGGAGCUACUUAUUCAGAUGAAAGGAAAGUAGUUGGUAAAUCUAACUAAUGAUGAUGAUCUCUGCUGCUUUUUCCUUCCCAGAGAAGGCCAUUGGUUGUUCCUACAAGGAUGUAACAGGGAAGUUAUUUCAAAGAAGAAGUGCAACUAACCACAGUGUGAAGAUGAGCAUUGAGCCUGUUCUUGCAUUUGCAGAGAGGAGUUGUCCAGCUGAUUCUAUUUGUGCCUAAUUGAUCAUUGUUGCUUAUUUUUCAGAUGUCAAGAAAUAAGUGGAACUGAACAUUUCUAUCAAGAGGUCAGGAACCUCCUCACGACACGGGGGCAGGAAUUAAAGGCUCUGUUUCUAUUUUCAGGUGAAAUGAAGGUCUUACCAUUCAAGGGAGGAUGAUAAGAGGCUGCUGAAUUUAAGAAAAAAAAUAGUCAGACAGGCACUGAUACCUGGCUAGAGGGAAAAGCAUUUUACUUCCAGUUCAGAAAAAGGCAAGCAGCCAUUUAUACGCUUCAGGUUUUAACAGGUGCAGCUGGCUGUACUCCUAAGAAUCAAAGACUUGUGGUGGAACAUGACUGACAAGUAGGUGAGCACUGAAAGGUCUCUAGAAGCCCAAUGAUCUGGAUGCUAAGGAACCUUCUCCACUGAUGACUCUUCAUAGCUGGCAAUGAGUAAUAAUAAAUAAUUCUGUCAAACAUUGAUUGCAGGUUUUGCUCUUCUGAGAUAUGAAGAGACCAGGUGCUCAUUCCUACCAGGGAGAAAUGAGGCUCAGUGGCUUGGCUGUCCCAGGCAAGGAGGUAAGAAAUACCAGUCUCCAAAUAUCCAUGUGUACAUUAAGUGGUGUGGAUUUUACUUUCAGGGAGAAAAACUGUGGAUGACCUUUCUUGUCAUGAGGACAGUGUCAAAAGCAGACACAAGACAAAGCAACAUGGACUUGCCAGCUGCUCAAGCCAUUGAGGACUCCAAUGAAAAAAUGCUAUUAUUUCAAGGGAAAAAGACACAAACAAAAAAAGCUACUUCAAAUAGUUCAGCUAGUUGCAAAUCUGAAUCAAGUCUGCAGAACAUCACAGACAUGGAGAUGAGAGAAAUGCAGCUGAGUUGAACGUUGAGGGCGUGAAAACUUCAGUAAGUUCCUAGAAGAUCUGGGAUAUCUACAGAAAGGAAACAAGCAAAACUCCUCACUGCUGCCAAGAGGUAAGGAACUCCCCUCAUAAUGGAGAAAUUGAUGGAUCUGGUUUCCCUUCAGGAGAAAGAAAUGCAGCUGAUCUGAUCUCCUGGGGAUUGAGGACUAUAAGCAGUCAUAUUACUGAAGCACACACACACACGUUGCCAGACCUGCAAAAAGUUGCCUUCCUUGACUCGAAUGGGAAGACAAACACUUAUCACCUUCACGUCUCAAACCCACAAUGCAGCAGACCAUCACUGACAAGGAGGAGAAGAGUUACAGAUGCUCAGGAUUUGAGUACGGAGGAAUAGGAAUGGAGCUGAACAGAUCCAACACCUGAAAGGAUGAUUGGAUCUCAAAAUAUGAAACCAGGAAAAAGACCUUUCAUUCAAUAAAGCACCAGGAUUGGCUAAGGAGAGGUAAGCAGCAUUUGGUAAGUCUAACAAAUGAGCACAGCAACUUUUUAGUGCUCGUUAUAACUUAUAUUGUGCCAAAGGGUUUGUUACAGCUGAUCAUGCAUCUCAGGAUCUAAGAGGACGUGAGGGGGAUGGCAGAUGUCAGGGGAUUCAUCUUUAUUAGGAGGUGGUGAACCUGCUUGUCACAUAAUGUUCAAAAGUUGCUGCUGGGAUGGAAGCAAAGAAGAAAGCCCUGGAAACGGGUUAGUGCUGGGACACAGACACUAUCCUGGAGGGGCCUGGGACAGGGUAUGUAACCAUAGUGACCAGCGGGUCCUUUCCCCACUGUGAUCCUGGCUCGCAUGCACAGAGUGAAACCGAUCGCCAUGUUUGGGGUCAGGAAGGAAUUUUCCUCCAGGGUAGAUUGGCCAGAGCCCUGGAGGUUUUUCGCCUUCCUCUGGAGCAUCGAGCAGGGACCAACCCUUAGGGCCAUUUAGGAACAAUAGACAAUAAAAUCCAUCAGAGAGAACUUGUCUCUUCGUUUUUUGAAUGUUCUAUAAACCU